UACAGAGGGUGCAAGCGUUAAUCGGAAUUACUGGGCGUAAAGCGUGCGUAGACGGUUGCGUAAGUCAGAUGUGAAAGCCCCGGGCCUCAACCUGGGAAUUGCAUUUGAGACUGCGUAGCUAGGGUGCGGAAGAGGGAAGCGGAAUUUCCGGUGUAGCGGUGAAAUGCGUAGAUAUCGGAAGGAACACCAGUGGCGAAAGCGGCUUCCUGGUCCAGCACCGACGUCAGGCACGAAAGCGUGGGGAGCAAACAGG
rnacentral:rRNA from 1 species